rnacentral:rRNA from 1 species
AACGAACGCUGGCGGCAUGCCUAACACAUGCAAGUCGAACGAGACCAUAGGGAGUAGUGGCGCACGGGUGCGUAACGCGUGGGAACCUGCCCUUAGGUUCGGAAUAACUCCCCGAAAGGGGUGCUAAUACCGGAUAAUGUCUUCGGACCAAAGAUUUAUCGCCUUUGGGUGGGCACGCGUUGGUUUAGCUUGUUGGUAGGGUAAAAGCCGACCAAGGCGACGAUCCAUAGCUGGUCAGAGAGGAAGAUCAGCCACACUGGGACUGGGACACGGCCCAGACUACUACGGGAGGCAGCAGUGGGGAAUAUUGGACUACGGGCGAGAGGCUGAUCCAGCAAGGCCGCGUGAGUGAUGAAGUCGUUAGGGUUGUACAGCUCUUUUACCCGGGAUGAUAAUGACAGUACCGGGAGAAUAAGCUCCGGCUAACUCCGUG